rnacentral:lncRNA from 1 species
GCUAGCAUAAGUCAAAUAAGAAAAAUGCAGCAAAACAGAAAAAACCAGCAAAACAUGAGUAGAAUAAAAGGGAUGAAAUAUAACAUACCAAUAGUGUACUACUAAAUAUAACCCAAAACCUAAGCACCAAACCACAAAACAGGCAACAAUAACUAAAGACUACGGUAACAAGAAAGUAAAACACCACAAAAGAGUUUGUCAGUUUGAAGUAGCUGGAUAAAUCACACCCCAAAACCUAAAAGCACUAGACCACAAAACAAGCAACAAUAACUAAACACUACAGUAACAAGAAAGCAAGAGACCAUAGGAUGACACAAAGUUGAAACCACAAUCAAGUUAUCAAUUAUUAACUAAACACUUAGUUAUUUUUUAAAAAAUAAUUAAAAAUUUGAUUUUAUAUAACACUUA